rnacentral:tRNA from 1 species
GUCCCCGUAGCUUAAUCAUAAAAGCAUGACACUGAAGAUGUCAAGAUGGUUUCAAAAACCCAUGGACA